CAAGAAUUAAUUUUUUGUUAAAAUCAAACUUAGUUACUUAGUCUUCGGACGACGCUGACGACAACGUGAUACCAAUGUACGACCAACAUUUUUUAAAUUUUUGCGGUCUUAUAAAAACUGCAUUUUACCCUAUUCACUAUUUUUAGCCAUGUGAGCCACCCUGGUUGGUGGUUGGCAAAAUUAUUACGAUUGACAUACUUGGGUAGGAUUGCUACGGAACAACAAAUGUAGGCGUGUUAUACACCAUUGUAAAGAUAAAUCAAUUUAGAUUUACGAUAUAACAAGUUUAAGUGUGGUUGACAGGCUUGAAAGCGGCAUAUAACGGAAUUUCUUCACUGCCUGACAUUUUUCUAAAAUGCAAGUUAAGAACCUUUUGUUAUAUUAAGGUAUAUAGGAUUUUUUUUUUCUGAGACAAGUGCCUGUGUCUUGACCUGAUAAACAAUUUUACCACAUGUCAGAUUUGCUUUAAAAGCUUUGGUUUCCGAGAUAUAAGCCAAAAUCUACAUUUUACCCCUAUGUUCUAUUUUAAGCCAUGACGACCAUCGUGAAUGGUUUGCCAGGUCACCGGACACACUUUUUAUACUAGUUACCCUAAUGGUGAUUGUGGCCAAGUUUGGUUAAAUUUUGCCCAGUAUUUUCAGAGAAGAUUUUUGUAAAAGUUUACGAACGACAGACACCAAGUGAUGAGAAGAGGAAGAGCAAAGGGCCAGGUGAGCUAAAACACUAGAAGCCCUCAUUUCUUUUGCAACACAAUAAUUGGUAAAAAUCAUCACUUUAAUAAGUACAAAAACCUUUACUACAAUAAUAAAUCCACCAAUGAUUUUGAUCCAAAUAGAAUUUUUGUAGAUCAUCUUCCUGAUAAAUUUUUGGCCACAUAAAAUGUUUACCAGUUUCUGUGUGAUUUUUCUGUAAGAAAAUUAUAAAACAAGCAUUCAGUGAGUAUUGCAUAACAAUCCAGUCCCCUCCUAGUAAAAAAUUCUAACUUGAUGUAUAACUUGUCCUGGUCUAAAGUAUACAACAUUCAUCAAGUAAAUAUCAAAUAACAAAACUAAAGGCUCUUAAGAACCUGUGUCGCUCACCUUGGUCUAUGUGCAUAUUAAACAAAGGACACGGAUGGAUUCAUGACAAAAUUGUGUUUUGGUGAUGGUGAUGUGUUUGAAGUUCUUACUUUACUGAACGUUCUUGCUACUAACAAUUGUCUCUAUCUAUAAUGAACUUUGCCAUUAGUAAGGAAAUUAUUUUACAAAAAUUUACCAAAUUAAUGAAAAUUGUUCAAAAUGGACUAUAAAGGGCAAUAACUCCUUAAGGGGUCAACUGACCAUUUUGGUCAUGUUGACUAAUUUGUAGAUCUUACUUUGCUGAACAUUAUUGCUGUUUACAGUUUAUCUCUAUCUAUAAUAGUAUUCAAGAUAAUAACCAACAAGAGGCUGUCACAACGACAGCAAACCGGGUUUAUUAACAUUUAUUUGUGUCCUGGCAAUAUCACAAGAACCAUAACUGAUGAACGGUGAAAGUGAAAAUCGUCAAUAUCAAAUUUGACCUGCAUUUUGUCAUCAGUAUCAACAUAUUAAAAUUUGAAAUAGCUUAGGUUGAAUGGUUCAUGAGUUAAUGCAGCAAAAAGAAUGGAAACGCCAUUUUUUUUAUCUUUCAAGAACCAUAACUCCUGAACAGUAAAAGUCAAAAUCGACAUUAUUAAACUUGACCUCCAUUUUGUCAUCAGUAACAACAUAUUAAAAUUUGAAAAGCUUUGGUUGAACAGCUCAUGAGUAAAUGCACGGACAUGACUGGAAACGCCAUUUUUCAAUCUUUCAAGAACCAUAACUCCCGAACGGUAAAAGUCAAA
rnacentral:lncRNA from 1 species